rnacentral:lncRNA from 1 species
GAGGCGAUCGGUCGUUGUAGAAAUCCAGCUACUGGAGCCUGUCCGUUGCAAAAGCUCAUCCGAAAUCCAUCCGUUGUGGAAGUUCGGACGGAGUCCGAUUCUUGCAGAAGCUUGUCCGAAAUUCAUCCACUGUGAAAGUUCGGACGGAGUCUGAUUCUUGCGGGAGGCCGAAAGGAGGCCGCUUAUUGUAGGAGCUCGAUCGAGGAUCGAUUGUCGUGGGAGCUCAGAGUAACGACCUGGUCGGUGGAUCCUGCCCCAUGGUAGAAGCUCGUCUGGGAUCCGGCUUC